AUUGAACGCUGGCGGCAUGCUUUACACAUGCAAGUCGAACGGUAACAGCACUUCGGUGGCUGACGAGUGGCGAACGGGUGAGUAAUACAUCGGAACGUGCCUAGUAGUGGGGGAUAACUACUCGAAAGAGUAGCUAAUACCGCAUGAGAUCUAAGGAUGAAAGCAGGGGACCUUCGGGCCUUGCGCUACUAGAGCGGCUGAUGGCAGAUUAGGUAGUUGGUGGGAUAAAAGCUUACCAAGCCGACGAUCUGUAGCUGGUCUGAGAGGACGACCAGCCACACUGGGACUGAGACACGGCCCAGACUCCUACGGGAGGCAGCAGUGGGGAAUUUUGGACAAUGGGCGCAAGCCUGAUCCAGCAAUGCCGCGUGCAGGAUGUAGGCCUUCGGGUUGUAAACUGCUUUUGUACGGAACGAAAAGCCCUCUUCUAAUACAGGAGGGUCAUGACGGUACCGUAAGAAUAAGCACCGGCUAACUACGUG
rnacentral:rRNA from 1 species